GAUGAACGCUGGCGGCGUGCCUAAUACAUGCAAGUCGAGCGAACAGACGAGGAGUUUGCUCCUCUGACGUUAGCGGAGGACGGGUGAGUAACACGUGUAUAACCUACCUAUAAGACUGGGAUAACUUCGGGAAACCGGAGCUAAUACCGGAUAAUAUAUUGCACCGCAUGGUUCAUUAGUGAAAGUCGGUUUUGCUGUCACUUAUAGAUGGAUCCGCGCCGCAUGAGCUAGUUGGUAAGGUAACGGCUUACCAAGGCAACUAUGCGUAGCCGACCUGAGAGGGUGAUCGGCCACACUGGAACUGAGACACGGUCCAGACUCCUACGGGAGGCAGCAGUAGGGAAUCUUCCGCAAUGGGCGAGAGCCUGACGGAGCAAAGCGGCGUGAGUGAUGAAGGUCUUCGGAUCGUAAAGCUCUGUUAUUAGGGAAGAACAAAUGUGUAAGUAACUAUGCACGUAUUGACGGUACCGAAUCAGAAAGCCACGGCUAACUACGUG
rnacentral:rRNA from 1 species